rnacentral:rRNA from 1 species
UACGUAGGGGGCUAGCGUUGUCCGGAUUUAUUGGGCGUAAAGAGCUCGUAGGCGGCUUGUCGCGUCGACCGUGAAAACUCGCAGCUCAACUGCGAGCCUGCGGUCGAUACGGGCAGGCUAGAGUUCGGUAGGGGAGACUGGAAUUCCUGGUGUAGCGGUGAAAUGCGCAGAUAUCAGGAGGAACACCGAUGGCGAAGGCAGAUCUCUGGGCCGUAACUGACGCUGAGGAGCGAAAGCAUGGGGAGCGAACAGG